rnacentral:rRNA from 1 species
UGUGGUGUUCGGGAGGGUCCGUUAUCCCGAGGUCAUGCGACGCGUCCAAGUCCUUCUUGAACGGGGCCACAGCCCAUAGAGGGUGCCAGGCCCGUAGUGACCGUCGCUGAUCGCGGGAGGAUCUCUCCUUAGAGUCGGGUUGCUUGAGAGUGCAGCCCUAAGUGGGUGGUAAACUCCAUCUAAGGCUAAAUAUGACCACGAGACCGAUAGCGAACAAGUACCGUGAGGGAAAGUUGAAAAGCACUUUGAAGAGAGAGUUCAAGAGUACGUGAAACCGUUUAGGGGUAAACCUGAGAAACCCGAAAGGUCGAAGGGAGAAAUUCAUUCGCGUUUCGAGGUAAGCGUUGAGCGGUCGCGUGACGGAAAACUUUCGGGUUUUCCGCGCCCUCCGUUUUUCGAACUUGCCGCGAACGCGUGCACUUUUCUCCUGGUAGGACGUCGCGAUCCGUUGGGCGUCGGUCUACGGCUCGAGGUGGAGCCCGUUCGUGCCACGUGUGCGAGCGGACCCUCGUGUUUGUCCCGGCUGACUCGCUCGACGGUAUACGAAAGGUUAAAGGCCGCUCUCGGAGCGUUCGACUCGUGGCAAGCGCGCCAGAUGCGUCGGCGAUCGGACCUAGUGCCGAUUCUGACCUCUGGUGACUGUUGGCCGCGAAGUUCUCGGACAGACCUUUGGACCGAUCUGCGACGCUAUAGCUUUGGGUAAUUUCAGGACCCGUCUUGAAACACGGACCAAGGAGUCUAGCAUGUACGCGAGUCAUUGGGAAUCGAUAAACCUAAAGGCGCAAUGAAAGUAAAAGUCUUCCUCGCGGAGGCUAAGGGAAGACGGGCGGUUUACCCUUAAAAGUAGCCGCUCCGCAUUCCCGGGGCGUCUCGUUCUCAUUGCGAGAAGAGGCGCACCAUGAGCGUACACGCUGGGACCCGAAAGAUGGUG